rnacentral:rRNA from 1 species
UACGUAGGUGGCAAGCGUUGUUCGGAAUUACUGGGCGUAAAGCGCGCGCAGGCGGCUCUUUAAGUCUGACGGUGAAAUGCCGGGGCUCAACCCCGUGCCCGCCGGAGAUACUGGGGAGCUGGAGACGAGUAGAGGCAAGCGGAAUUCCGGGUGUAGCGGUGGAAUGCGUAGAGAUCCGGAAGAACACCGGAGGCGAAGGCGGCUUGCUGGGCUCGGUCUGACGCUGAGGAGCGAAAGCGUGGGGAGCGAACAGG